rfam:Exiguobacterium sp. AT1b, complete genome.
CUCUUAUCAAGAGAGGCUGAGGGACUGGCCCUAUGACGCCCAGCAACCGCGGAGCAAUCCGAAAUGGUGCUAAUUCCAGCAAGGUGAGAAACCUUGACAGAUGAGAG